rnacentral:lncRNA from 1 species
CAAAUAAACCAUCUUUGCUGGCUGUUUUAGUUGUAAAACGAGAUCAAACGACAACAGUGUUUAGAUGAAAAUUGCCUUUUCGGAGAGAAACUGCCAUGUUGCCUGAAGAAACUUGACAUCUCUUCCUUCUUCCUCUCAACUAAAACUGCCAGGCAAAUGCUCGCAAAUACUGCCCUCCCUGAUGAGCGUUCACCAGUUAUAGGCGUCCAAUCAUAAUUGGGUAUUUGGAUACAUAACAUAAAUAACAGUCUCAAACUUUUGAACCACAAAUCUAUAUAUACUAAUAAUGAAGUAACAAUAUAAAUAUAAAUAUAAUUCAAAUAUACUUCCUCCGUCCUGAAGAAUCCAUUUUCGCGACAAGUAAUUCGGCUCGGAAGUUAAUAUAUUGGAACCUUCAAGAGAUAUACUCGCUCAUUUGGUCUUGAAUAUGGAGACGAUACUCAGAAAUUUGUUUUCUCUUUUUCGUAUCACAUUCAAUUUCAUUUGGAUUAAACUCAUCGGCAUUGCUAGGUGGUUGCAUUGGCUCUACUUCUAUUUCUGUUGUUCACCAUCCAUAUUUUCAUUGGUUGCUCUAUUGACAAAAAACAUCAUCUGUAAAAUUUAGUGAUUCAAGUUAACAUUCAGCUAUCAAGAAGAACAUCUCUAAUCGAAGACUAGGUUCACAAAGUUGUCGUCAUUCCAAUGGAUAAUUCCCAUGUACACACAUAAAAAUUGAAGCCCUAAACCUAUGCAUAGGAUGGCUAGAUCAAUUCGUAAUUUUACCUACUCAGGAAAGAGAGGAUGAUCAGUAGAGGAUGCAAGCCGUUCAUGCGUGGAUCUAGUCGCCCCGCCCGCCGACGGCCGCACGUCCAGCCGCCAAUGGUAGUCGUGGCUUGCCGUCAGUCAUUCUCCGUGAUAUGCAAUCGUGGGGAGGCUGGCAGGUGGAGAGGCUAGACCCGUUGCUAUCGAGUAAAUCAUGCGUUCCUAGCUUUCUAGGCCUGGGCCUGUUGCUAAU